CUUAUCCCCAAACGCUCGGCUUCCUCAGAAGCCCAACGCGACUCUUCCUCUCCCUCGACCUUCUUCUCCCCAGCGUGCGCUCCCCCUCGUGCCUCCUCCAGAAGACCCUAUGGUGGCUCCCUCCGCAUCUUCCUCCCCUACGAAGGCCCCUGCUCCUCCACUGCAUUCUCCUCCCCUGAGAAAGCCCCUGCUCCUCCUGUGGCUUGCCUGUGGUAGGGCCGCACACUCUGGGAUGGGGCGGCCAAAAGCCAUACCUGGCAUGACGCGGUCGCCGCGCCAUGCCCUGCCGGCCGGCUGGCCAGCGCCGCCGUCCCUAGGCCAGGCGAGCUAGUUGAAGGCGAGCGCCGCAGCAUGGGUCAACCGCAUCAGCAGCUGAACACCGCACUCUUCCUAGGCUGAUAAGGGCCCAAAUGCGGGUUAGAUCUACAUCGUCUUCAUCUGAUCUACGCCAUUUAGUUGUUCUAGUUGCUCCUCCAUCCUGUGCGGUCUGCAAAUCGGAUAUGCGUGUCCAUGGUGGUAAAACUUUGUUUAUCUAAAUGAAAACCAACUGCUAUGUCCACACUCAACUAGGUGCUGUGUUUUUUCAGUUGUUCAAUUUCAGACUUAAAAGACAGUCAGAUUGCUAACUCACAAGUACAACUGAUGGGAAAACAGAAUCAAGCGAGUUCUUAAAGCAGGAGCACCGAAUUGUUUUCAGUCCCUGGUUUUUGUUUUUUAGAAAACAGCAGCAACACUUCGACAAGGUAAGUUAGCAGUAAUUAUUUGAGACUUGAUUAUCUGCCUGAGGUGAACUCUAAUUAGCUUUAUUUAUCUGUCCAUAUUGUACAAGUCCAAAGGAAUCUUGCUCGCUCCAACGGGGAAUUGCUCGACGAGAAGAAGCUGGAGACAAAUACAAAGACCAGGACCAUGAAGCAAUGGAUUUUUUUUAAGGAGUGCCACUAUAUAGCAAAAAGAUUCAAGACUAUGCACUUGCUUUGUAGAAUGCUAUUGUAAUAUAUGUGAAGGUCGACAAAGACCUAUUUUUGCGUUUCAAGUUUUAUGUUGAUCAGAACAUCUUGUGUUAAUGUACUUACUGGAAAAAUAACCAAAUUGUUGGGUGUUAUGUGAUUUUCUUUUAUAUAAUAAGUGGUCAAUGAUGGACAA